CCUACGGGCGGCAGCAGUGGGGAAUAUUGCACAAUGGGGGAAACCCUGAUGCAGCGACGCCGCGUGAGUGAAGAAGUAUUUCGGUACGUAAAGCUCUAUCAGCAGGGAAGAAAAUGACGGUACCUGACUAAGAAGCACCGGCUAACUACGUGCCAGCAGCCGCGGUAAUACGUAGGGGGCAAGCGUUAUCCGGAUUUACUGGGUGUAAAGGGAGCGUAGACGGCAGCGCAAGUCUGAAGUGAAAUCCCAUGGCUUAACCAUGGAACUGCUUUGGAAACUGUGCAGCUAGAGUGCAGGAGAGGUAAGCAGAAUUCCUAGUGUAGCGGUGAAAUGCGUAGAUAUUAGGAGGAACACCAGUGGCGAAGGCGGCUUACUGGACUGUAACUGACGUUGAGGCUCGAAAGCGUGGGGAGCAAACAGGAUUAGAUACCCCAGUAGUC
rnacentral:rRNA from 1 species